rnacentral:rRNA from 1 species
UACGGAGGGUGCGAGCGUUGUCCGGAAUCACUGGGCGUAAAGGGCGCGUAGGCGGCUUGAUAAGUCGGGGGUGAAAUCCUGCGGCUUAACCGCAGGGCUGCCUUCUAAACUGUCAGGCUCGAGCACAGUAGAGGCAGGUGGAAUUCCCGGUGUAGCGGUGGAAUGCGUAGAGAUCGGGAAGAACAUCGGUGGCGAAGGCGGCCUGCUGGGCUGUUGCUGACGCUGAGGCGCGACAGCGUGGGGAGCAAACAGG